GACGAACGCUGGCGGCGUGCUUAACACAUGCAAGUCGAACGGUGAACCAGAGCUUGCUCUGGGGAUCAGUGGCGAACGGGUGAGUAACACGUGGGCAACCUGCCCCAGACUCUGGGAUAACCUCGGGAAACCGAUGCUAAUACCGGAUACGACCACUUCGGACAUCCGACGGUGGUGGAAAGUUUUCGGUCUGGGAUGGGCCCGCGGCCUAUCAGCUAGUUGGUGGGGUAAUGGCCUACCAAGGCGACGACGGGUAGUCGGCCUGAGAGGGCGACCGGCCACACUGGAACUGAGACACGGGUCCAGACUCCUACGGGAGGCAGCAGUGGGGAAUAUUGCACAAUGGGCGAAAGCCUGAUGCAGCGACGCCGCGUGAGGGGACGACGGCCUUCGGGUUGUAAACCGUCUUUCUAGCAGGGACGGAAGCGAAAGUGACUGUACCUGCAGAAGAAGCACCGGCUAACUACGUAGCC
rnacentral:rRNA from 1 species